AAACCAUGUUGAGGACAUUUUCCCAAAAGUUCCUUGAACCUUUCCCUUGUCUCAAAUAGAGACUCCAAUUCCAUUUACGAAGGAAGAAAUCUCAUUCCUAAGCUU